UGCAGCAUGGAAUAGUGGUUUGAGUGUUGGACUAUGACUCUGGAGACCAGGGUUCAAAUUCCUGCUUGGUCA
rnacentral:tRNA from 1 species